GAGGAAUAUUGGUCAAUGGGCGAGAGCCUGAACCAGCCAAGUAGCGUGCAGGAUGACGGCCCUCCGGGUUGUAAACUGCUUUUAGUUGGGAAUAAAAAAGGGACUUGUCCCUUCUUGUAUGUACCUUCAGAAAAAGGACCGGCUAAUUCCGUGCCAGCAGCCGCGGUAAUACGGAAGGUCCAGGCGUUAUCCGGAUUUAUUGGGUUUAAAGGGAGCGUAGGCGGAUUGUUAAGUCAGCGGUUAAAGGGUGUGGCUCAACCAUGCAUUGCCGUUGAAACUGGUGAUCUUGAGUGCAGACAGGGAUGCCGGAAUUCGUGGUGUAGCGGUGAAAUGCUUAGAUAUCACGAAGAACUCCGAUCGCGAAGGCAGGUGUCCGGGCUGCAACUGACGCUGAGGCUCGAAAGUGUGGGUAUCAAACAGGAUUAGAUACCCUGGUAGUCCACACAGUAAACGAUGUAUACUCGCGGUUUGCGAUAGACAGUAAGCCGCCAAGCGAAAGCAUUAAGUAUACCACCUGGGGAGUACGCCGGCAACGGUG
rnacentral:rRNA from 1 species